rnacentral:rRNA from 1 species
UACGUAGGGUGCGAGCGUUGUCCGGAAUUAUUGGGCGUAAAGAGCUCGUAGGCGGUUUGUCGCGUCGGCCGUGAAAUCUCCACGCUUAACGUGGAGCGUGCGGUCGAUACGGGCAGACUUGAGUUCGGUAGGGGAGACUGGAAUUCCUGGUGUAGCGGUGAAAUGCGCAGAUAUCAGGAGGAACACCGGUGGCGAAGGCGGUUCUCUGGGCAUUACCUGACGCUGAGGAGCGAAAGUGUGGGGAGCGAACAGG